UCUCUCUGAAUCUGCGAACGGCUCCGCAAACCAGUUGGAAACUAGAGCAAGCAAGUCUGCCGGGCUUCGGCCUCCAGACGAUAUGGAUAACCCUGGUAAUUCUGAGGCUAAUACAUGACCGCAAAACCGGGCAGCCCAGCAAUGGAUGCUCGGGGAUGCGCGAUAUGGCUUGACAAUAACCGGGAAAGGACGCACACUCAGACCGCGCUAAAAAGGAUCGGGACUCUCUUCGGAGAACCUGGCCCCAGCGGCUCUUGCUGUGUGCUUCUGACCUAUCAACUAGACGGCAGCGUGAUGGACAUGCUAUGGUGACAACGGGUGCAGAGGAUUAGGGUUCGAUCCUGGAGAGUGGGCCUGAGAGAUUGAGC
rnacentral:rRNA from 1 species